GAUCGGGCUAUUUAUGGUCAUUGACAGGAAAUCUUUCCUCGCGGGGCUUACCUGUCUGGGUCAAUAAAGCUGCUCGCUGACAAGACUAAUACUUCAAAUCUCUUUAAAACUUUCAAGGACGGUUGAGAAUAUUAAAAGACGUCAACAUGCAGAUGAAAACUUGCACUAUUCUGUUAUUAGUCGUACUGUUGGCAAUUUCCUUUGAGAUGGGAUCCUGUAACCCGAAGAACAAAAAAAACAAAAAUAAGAAGAACAAUAACAACGGAGGGGACUCAGAAAAUGGGUUUGAAGAUGCCGUUGCCGAAUUUAUGGAUGAAUUACAGGAAAUGAUGAACAUGGAGACGCUUGAUGAAGAAUAGAAUCAAGUUCGAGGUGUCUGUGAAUAAGAGAUUUGUGAACACAAACAUUGAUUCACCAUUAUUAUUCAGUGUAAUUUACGAGAACGAGUUUGUAGAUUGAAAAACAUUUUCAAUCGAAUUAAACUUUUUAUUGUGGUAA